rnacentral:rRNA from 1 species
UACAGAGGGGGCAAGCGUUAUUCGGAAUUAUUGGGCGUAAAGGGCGCGUAGGCGGCUUUGCAAGUGGCGGGUGAAAUCCCUCGGCUUAACCGAGGAACUGCCUGCCAGACUGUGAGGCUUGAGACCGGGAGAGGUGAGUGGAAUUCCCAGUGUAGCGGUGAAAUGCGUAGAUAUUGGGAGGAACACCAGUGGCGAAGGCGGCUCACUGGACCGGAACUGACGCUGAGGCGCGAAAGCGUGGGGAGCAAACAGGG